UGCCCCAUAGUCUGGGAUACCACUUGGAAACAGGUGCUAAUACCGGAUAAGAAAGCGGAUCGCAUGAUCAGCUUUUAAAAGGCGGCGUAAGCUGUCGCUAUGGGAUGGCCCCGCGGUGCAUUAGCUAGUUGGUAAGGUAAAGGCUUACCAAGGCGAUGAUGCAUAGCCGAGUUGAGAGACUGAUCGGCCACAUUGGGACUGAGACACGGCCCAAACUCCUACGGGAGGCAGCAGAC
rnacentral:rRNA from 1 species